AACGAACGCUGGCGGCGUGCUUAACACAUGCAAGUCGAACGCGAAAGGGACUUCGGUCCUGAGUAAAGUGGCGCACGGGUGAGUAACGCGUAGAUAACCUGUCUUUAUGUCUGGAAUAAUACACCGAAAGGGGUACUAAUACCGGAUACUCUUGCUUUAUAUAAGUUUUGCAAGCAAAGGUGGCCUCUGACAUAAGCUACUGCAUAAAGAGGGGUCUGCGUACCAUUAGCUUGUAGGUGGGGUAAUGGCCUACCUAGGCUACGAUGGUUAGCGGGUCUGAGAGGAUGAUCCGCCACACUGGCACUGGAACACGGGCCAGACUCCUACGGGAGGCAGCAGUGAGGAAUAUUGCGCAAUGGGGGCAACCCUGACGCAGCGACGCCGCGUGAGUGAGGAAGGCCUUCGGGUCGUAAAGCUCUGUCAAAGGGAAAGAAAUGUAUAAUGGCUAAUACCUGUUAUAUUUGACGGUACCCUUAAAGGAAGCACCGGCUAACUCCGUGCCAGCAGCCGCGGUAAUACGGAGGGUGCAAGCGUUGUUCGGAAUUACUGGGCGUAAAGGGCGCGUAGGCGGUUUGAUAAGUCAGAUGUGAAAGCCCACGGCUUAACUGUGGAAGUGCAUUUGAUACUGUCAGACUUGAGUACCAGAGGGGGAAAGUGGAAUUCCCGGUGUAGAGGUGAAAUUCGUAGAUAUCGGGAGGAAUACCGGUGGCGAAGGCGACUUUCUGGCUGGAUACUGACGCUGAGGCGCGAAAGCGUGGGGAGCAAACA
rnacentral:rRNA from 1 species